CCUACGGGGGGCAGCAGUGGGGAAUAUUGGACAAUGGGGGCAACCCUGAUCCAGCCAUGCCGCGUGUGUGAAGAAGGCCCUCGGGUUGUAAAGCACUUUCAGUGAGGAAGAACGCCUGGUGGUUAAUACCCAUCAGGAAAGACAUCACUCACAGAAGAAGCACCGGCUAACUCCGUGCCAGCAGCCGCGGUAAUACGGAGGGUGCGAGCGUUAAUCGGAAUUACUGGGCGUAAAGCGCGCGUAGGUGGCUUGAUAAGCCGGUUGUGAAAGCCCCGGGCUCAACCUGGGAACGGCAUCCGGAACUGUCGAGCUAGAGUGCAGGAGAGGAAGGUAGAAUUCCCGGUGUAGCGGUGAAAUGCGUAGAGAUCGGGAGGAAUACCAGUGGCGAAGGCGGCCUUCUGGACUGACACUGACACUGAGGUGCGAAAGCGUGGGUAGCAAACAGGAUUAGAUACCCGAGUAGUC
rnacentral:rRNA from 1 species